rnacentral:rRNA from 1 species
UACAGAGGGUGCGAGCGUUGUCCGGAAUCACUGGGCGUAAAGGGCGCGUAGGCGGCUUUUCAAGCGUGCGGUGAAAGCUCGGGGCUUAACUCCGAGUCUGCCGUGCGAACUGGGAGGCUUGAGUCUGGUAGAGGUCGAUGGAAUUCCGGGUGUAGCGGUGGAAUGCGUAGAGAUCCGGAAGAACACCGGUGGCGAAGGCGGCUCUCUGGGACGGUACUGACGCUGAGACGCGAAAGCGUGGGGAGCGAACAGG